rnacentral:rRNA from 1 species
UACAGAGGUCUCAAGCGUUGUUCGGAUUUAUUGGGCGUAAAGAGCUCGUAGGCGGUUUGGUAAGUUGGAUGUGAAAUCUCCAGGCUCAACUUGGAGGGGUCAUUCGAUACUGCCAUGACUAGAGUUCGGUAGGGGAGUGUGGAAUUCCUGGUGGAGCGGUGAAAUGCGCAGAUAUCAGGAGGAACACCCGUAGCGAAGGCGGCACUCUGGGCCGGAACUGACGCUGAGGAGCGAAAGCGUGGGGAGCGAACAGG